rnacentral:rRNA from 1 species
CCUACGGGGAGCUGCAGUGGGGAAUAUUGCACAAUGGGGGAAACCCUGAUGCAGCGACGCCGCGUGAGUGAAGAAGUAUUGCGUUAUGUACAGCUCUAGCAGCAGGGAAGAAAAUGACGGUACCUGAGUAAGAAGCACCGGCUAACUACGUGCCAGCAGCCGCGGUAAUACGUAGGGGGCAAGCGUUACCCGGAUUUACGGGGUGUAAAGGUAGCGUAGACGGCAGCACAAGUCUGGAGUGAAAUGCCGGGGCUUAACCCCGGAACUGCUUUGGAAACUGUGCAGCUAGAUUGCAGGAGAGGUAAGUGGAAUUCCUAGUGUAGCGGUGAAAUGCGUAGAUAUUAGGAGGAACACCAGUGUCGAAGGCGGCUUACUGGACUGUAACUGACGUUGAGGCUCGAAAGCGUGGGGAGCAAACAGGAUUAGAUACCCCUGUAGUC